GACGAACGCUGGCGGCGUGCUUAACACAUGCAAGUCGAACGAAGUGGCGAACGGGUGAGUAACGCGUAAUCAACCUGCCCUUCAGAGGGGGACAAAAGAUGGAAACGACUGCUAAUACCGCAUACUGAAGGAGGGGUUUGCGUCUGAGUAGCUAGUGGGAGGGGUAACGGCCCACCAAGGCGAUGACCAGUAGCCGGUCGGGGAGGAUGAACGGCCACAUUGGGACUGGGACACGGCCCAGACUCCUACGGGUGGCAGCAGUAGGGAUUCUUCCGCAAGGUAAGAAAGUCUGACGGUGCAACACCGCGUGAGUGAUGACGGCCUUCGGGUUGUGAAGCUCUGUUAAUCGGGACGCGGUACCAUAAUAGAAAGCAACGGCUAACUACGUGCCAGCCGCCGCGGUAAUAC
rnacentral:rRNA from 1 species